rnacentral:sRNA from 1 species
UGGGUCCCUACUUCUAUUGGGAAAGGCAACUAGAGUGCGACACGUGGCAGAUUACCUUGGUUUAAGUCUUAAUGUGGCCUGUGGUGUUUCCCAUAAGAGAAUUGGCUUUGUGGCUUCAUGGUGUCCUCUGGGCUAAUGAUGGAAAAAUCAUUAUUGGAAAAGAAUGACAUGAACAAAGGAACCACUGAAGUGCCGGAGGACUGGAGGAGGAAGGGGGAGGGUGUGGGGGCAGUUGAGGGUGGCAGGGACUAAGGCUUCCUUCUCUACCCUAGGCCUGAUGGAGAGAAGAAGGCAUAUGUUCGACUGGCUCCUGAUUACGAUGCUUUGGAUGUUGCCAACAAAAUUGGGAUCAUCUAAACUGAGUCCAGCUGCCUAAUUCUGAAUAUAUAUAUAUAUCUUUUCACCAUAU